CCUACGGGCGGCAGCAGUGGGGAAUAUUGGACAAUGGGCGAAAGCCUGAUCCAGCCAUGCCGCGUGUGUGAAGAAGGCCUUCGGGUUGUAAAGCACUUUCAGUGGGGAAGAAAGCCUUGGGGCUAAUACCCUCGAGGAAGGACAUCACCCACAGAAGAAGCACCGGCUAACUCCGUGCCAGCAGCCGCGGUAAUACGGAGGGUGCGAGCGUUAAUCGGAAUUACUGGGCGUAAAGCGCGCGUAGGCGGUCUGAUAAGCCGGUUGUGAAAGCCCCGGGCUCAACCUGGGAACGGCAUCCGGAACUGUCAGGCUAGAGUGCAGGAGAGGAAGGUAGAAUUCCCGGUGUAGCGGUGAAAUGCGUAGAGAUCGGGAGGAAUACCAGUGGCGAAGGCGGCCUUCUGGACUGACACUGACGCUGAGGUGCGAAAGCGUGGGUAGCAAACAGGAUUAGAUACCUGGUAGUC
rnacentral:rRNA from 1 species